CCUUCAAGACCCAGAGUAAAUGCCUCCUCCAUAAAGUCUCCCCUUAACGCUCACUCCGGUCAAAAUCCGCCUCUCUUUCCUUUGCUGCUGAACCUUGUUAACAAUAUUACCAUUUUAGAAAAUGCCCUAGUUCAGAACCUAUGUCCUACUUUAGAUUCUGACUCUGCCACUUACUAACUUGGGCAGGUUUAGUCAAGUGACUUGACCUCUAUGUUCCUGCUCGGGAAAGUGGAGAUAAUAGUAUUUUCCUCAGGGUUGUGGGGAUUGUGUGAGUUCAUACAUUUAAAGUGUGUUUUUUUUUGCAUCUAGUAAGCACUCCCUGAAUGCUAGUUUUUGUUAUCAUUGCUCAUCUGCCACACCCCUUGUAGAUGGUAAGCUGCUUUUGGCUAGAGAUCUUACCCUGUAAGUCUCCUUCAGUUUCUUGAACUUAGUAAGUAGUCAGUAAAUGGUGGAAGGAUGAGUCAGCUCUCUUGGUGUGUCAGAAGAAAACAACACCUCAGCCUCUCUUUGUUGGGUAAUACGACAAAUGAAUUUUCCAUUCAAAGUCAUGAACAAGCCAAAAGGACGUUGAGCAACACCUGCCAACCUUUGAUCGCCUGCUUCUUUUCAGAAAUGUUCCCUCUGGUUUUAAAGAAUUGAUGCAACACUACCUGGCUGCUGAAUGGAUAAUUCAAGCAAAAGACUCUUGAGAGGCAAACACGGCCCAGACAAGUAAACAGCCAGGACAAGAAUCUCCAAAGGCCGAGAGGGGAACUAGAGACAGGAACUGUGCAAAGAAGACAGCGCUGUCAUAGAGGAUAACAAUGGAGGUGAAGCCUGACCCUGGAAACCAGUCAAGAUUCCCAGAGAUAAACCCUGGGCAGCAAGAACACUGUCAAUGAAAAGAAACUGACCUUUCGCCUUCUGGAGUCACAGAAUUCCCACAAAAGCCGUGUCCUCAUCAGCUCUGGCAGGCCUCGCCACCCGGCCCCAGAUUUCGACGCCAAUUCAUAAACAGCACACAGGGAGCUGCUGGAGUCG